AGUAUUUGGCCACGAGGUUAUUCCCAAAACCACCCACUUUAUUGUAGCUCUGAUGAUGCAGGAGCUACAAAGAUAGCAAAUAUUGCUGUAUUUCUCAGAGGGCAAAGGAAAAGAAAAUAAGGAAGAGCAGAAGAAUAGUGUACAGAGGAUGAGGAGAAAUACUGGUAAGCAAUACUGAAAGCGCAACAUUCAAGCUGCGAUCAGUAAUCAUGAGCCACAGGAACCUGCUCAUUUGUAUUGUAAAUUACACAACUUCUGCCCUUUAUUUCAUAUACAGUUGAUCACUUUUGUCAGGACUGUCAUCAGAGCAUGUGCCUGGGAAGAAAAAGAACAAAAUAAUAAUAAAAAAAGCCAACAAAUCAGCCAUGGAAGUGUAGGAGUGCAUGAAAGAUUUCAGUUGGAAGAAGCUUUGGAUACAAUCUUCCAGAAGGAACCAACACCUUGUGAGGAUAAAAUUAGAGAUGAGACGUUAAUUUCUGAAAUCCAAAUCUGUUGCUAAAAUGUGAAUAAACAAAAUGAUCUGCCAAUUUUAUGACCCGAA
rnacentral:lncRNA from 1 species